CUCCAAUAAAAAUGUUCUCUCCCUUCUCUGUAAAUGACCACCCAUCACAGUCGAUAUUUUCAUCGUUGAUCGAUCGUCGACUACGGUCAUCAAUAGUGAUCGUUGGGGCCCAAUUUACACUGGUUUUUCGUUUGUCCUUCUCACCGUUUGGAUUCGCUAACGGAGGUCCCAAUCGUCGGUGAGGCCACCGGCCAAAAGACGCCACAUAGCAGAAGUACCCCAAAAGAUAUUAUUUUUCAAAGCUGGCUAACGUUCGACGCGUAAGAGGGCAAACUGGUGCGUGUGAGGACGAGGUGCUGGUGCGUAGAUGACACGUGCGCUAGCCGACCUCUAUUGAAAUACCGCAUCGAUGUA